UGGUGGAGUGAUUUGUCUGGUUAAUUCCGAUAACGAACGAGACCUUAACCUGCUAAAUAGCCAGACCGUCUUUUGAUGGUUGCAGGCUUCUUAGAGGGACUGUCAGGAUCUACCUGACGGAAGUUUGAGGCAAUAACA
rnacentral:rRNA from 1 species